rnacentral:misc_RNA from 1 species
GAGAAAGCCAAAGCUUUGGGCAUGGACUUCACUCCUUUAGAGGCUACUGUUGAAGACACUAUUGAAAGCUUGAAGGAGAAAGGCUACCUUGAAGUCUGAUCUGAAUAAUGGAUUUUUUUUUAUUAUUAUUUUUAAUACUUACAGUCAAAUAUUUUUGAGGCAAUUUAUGCGAAUUAAACUAAAACUCUUCUUAAUAAUGUAUUCUACUUUAGAAUUGCAAUCUACCAACAUCAUAUAAUUUAUUAUUAUUGCAUUUG